UUGCCCCGUAACGGCGAGUGAGCGGCAGAGCUCAAAUUUGGAAUCUGGCCCCUUUUAGGGACCCGAGUUGUAAUUUGUAGAGGGCGCUUUGGCGAUAGGCUGCGGCCCAAGUUCCUUGGAACAGGAUGUCGUAGAGGGUGAGAGUCCCGUACGCGGCCGCGCGCCUUCGCCUUGUAAAGCCCCUUCGACGAGUCGAGUUGUUUGGGAAUGCAGCUCUAAGUGGGAGGUAAAUCUCUUCUAAAGCUAAAUAAUGGCCAGAGACCGAUAGCGCACAAGUAGAGUGAUCGAAAGAUGAAAAGCACUUUGGAAAGAGAGUCAAAAAGCACGUGAAAUUGUUGAAAGGGAAGCGCUUGCGGCCAGACAUGCCCGCGGUCGCUCAUCCGGACCCCCCUAAUUGUCCGGUGCAGUCUCCCGUGAGCAGGCCAGCAUCGGUCUGGGCGGUUGGACAAAGGCCUCGGGAAUGUAGCUCCCCCCCGGGGGAGUGUUAUAGCCCGGGGCGCAAUGCAGCCAGCCGAGACCGAGGCCCGCGCGUCGUGCUACGAUGCUGGCGUAAUGGCCGCAAGCGGCCCGUCUUGAAACACGGACCAAGGAGUCUAACAUCCAUGCGAGUGUUUGGGUGUCAAGCCCGAGCGCGCAGUGAGAGCGAAUGGAGGUGGGAACCCCCCCGGGGGCGCACCAUCGACCGAUCCUGAUGUCCUCGGAUGGAUUUGAGUAAGAGCAUGGCUGUUGGGACCCGAAAGAUGGUGAACUAUGCCUGGAUAGGGUGAAGCCAGAGGAAACUCUGGUGGAGGCUCGCAGCGGUUCUGACGUGCAAAUCGAUCGUCAAAUCUGGGCAUAGGGGCGAAAGACUAAUCGAACUAUCUAGUAGCUGGUUCCUGCCGAAGUUUCCCUCAGGAUAGCAGUAACGCCUUCAGUUUUAUGAGGUAAAGCGAAUGAUUAGAGGCCUGGGGGUUGAAACAACCUUCACCUAUUCUCAAACUUUAAAUAUGUAAGAAGUCCUUGUUACUUGAUUGAACGUGGACAUUUGAAUGCACCGUUACUAGUGGGCCAUUUUUGGUAAGCAGAACUGGCGAUGCGGGAUGAACCGAACGCGGGGUUAAGGUGCCGGAAUGCACGCUCAUCAGACACCACAAAAGGUGUUAGUUCAUCUAGACAGCAGGACGGUGGCCAUGGAAGUCGGAACCCGCUAAGGAGUGUGUAACAACUCACCUGCCGAAUGAACUAGCCCUGAAAAUGGAUGGCGCUCAAGCGUGCUACCCAUACCCCGCCGCCAGGGCAGAGGGUACGCCCUGGCGAGUAGGCAGGCGUGGGGGCCCGGACGAGCCUGG
rnacentral:rRNA from 1 species